CAAAGCGCUGUCUACCUGAAGGUUAAAAUCCUUCACCUUAAUUCACAUUUCAGGCCUUACUUCUGACCCCGAUUGAAGUCUGCACGUGUAAACAAUGAGUAAAAUGAGUUCAGGUAUGUGCCUGCUCUCCCUUUGCGACUGAACUUGAUGAAGUAGUCUGAGAUUUAAGACAUAUUCCAGGACACAUUCUCUGAACAGUGUCCCCGAGCCCAUUCACAGUGACAGGUGCUCUGCACCUGGUGAGCCUCACCUCUCUGGAGAGAUGUUUGCAACCACAGCAUCUACAUAUUCAACCAUGGUGUUGGGCAGGCAGAAAAGGCUGAAAAGGUGAGCAUGGCUACAACAGAAAAGAAAUAAUUCUACCAGUACAAAGGCCAUAGCACAUCAUCCUGGCAAUUUUCCUAGUUAGAAACAAUGAAGAA